CCUACGGGAGGCAGCAGUGGGGAAUCUUGCGCAAUGGGCGAAAGCCUGACGCAGCAACGCCGCGUGCGGGAAGAAGGCUCUCGGGUUGUAAACCGCUUUCAGCAGGAACGAAAAUGACGGUACUUGCAGAAGAAGGUGCGGCCAACUACGUGCCAGCAGCCGCGGUGACACGUAGGCACCAAGCGUUGUCCGGAUUUAUUGGGCGUAAAGCGCUCGUAGGCGGUUCGGUAAGUCAGGUGUGAAAACUUGGGGCUUAACCCCAAGCCUGCAUCUGAUACUGCCGUGACUAGAGUUCGGUAGGGGAGUGGGGAAUUCCUAGUGUAGCGGUGAAAUGCGCAGAUAUUAGGAGGAACACCGGUGGCGAAGGCGCCACUCUGGGCCGAUACUGACGCUGAGGAGCGAAAGCGUGGGUAGCAAACAGGAUUAGGUACCCUGGUAGUCCACGCCGUAAACGUUGGGCACUAGGUGUGGGUUUCAACCAACGAAAUCCGCGCCGUCGCUAACGCAUUAAGUGCCCCGCCUGGGGAGUACGGCCGCAAGGUUAAAACUCAAAGGAAUUGACGG
rnacentral:rRNA from 1 species